UUUGGUUGGUAUUUAGAUGCUCAAAAGAAUAUGUUUCAUCAAAUUUGUUUUUCCCACGUGUUUGUAGACCGCGGCUUCAAUCCCGUUAUCAGUAUGUACUCACGUGUUCUUGAUAGAAAUAAAACAUGCGAGUUUGGCUGAUGCUCACCAUACAGGACAGGACUCCUCCAGAAAAUGUCCGCAAACUAGAGUAAGCCGAGUGUCUGCCCCAUCUGCCUAAAGGAAAACGGGGUCCGGAAGGAAUGCCUCCGGUUGAAUUACCGCCUGCGGGCCAAACACGGCCUCUCGAGUAUACUGAAUUUUGUGACACGCUGAAUUAUGCAAGACACGAAAUGAAAUCACGUGUAGCAUAUGGGCAUUUGAUAGGCCCGUAUUCUGGAAUGGGAAAACAACAUCCUUGAUAAUACAAGUAGACGACGAAGAAAGGCUAACAACAACUACAAAGUUAGAAAACUGUCGUUAUAGCAGUUGCUUCCCUUUGAUAACAAAGAUACAAAGUCAAGCUUUCGACGAUCGGGAACGUUCUAUUAAGGUCACAAUAUACCAAAAGAUUUCCUUAACAAAUUCAAUGUAAAACCGACAACUUCAACGAAAAAUAAAGUCAAACUUUUGCGCGUAGACACCCCCAUACCCAUGCCUUUUCUUAAAGAGCAUGCCAAGCCGAAUGGAUUUACACAAUAAAAAAGAUAGGUCAUCCAGUAUGUAAGAAAGAACUCGACGCGAAUCAACGGUCACUGUUUUAAGACCACCUUUUUACCGGCUGAUCUCCAGUUGAUGAGGGUUUCCCGCCAUCUGUCAAAAUCUCAUGUAGUCUCCAACCUAUAAGCAAAACACUGAAUUUGUAGUAUACAACAAUGUUUUUCCUACCACAUGCACACAGAAAUAUUCAAAAAUAAAGUCAUGGCAUAUGCCCAUACAGAGAAUUGUGUCUUCAAAUAAAUGACGUUCCAUUCUUUACAGGGUAUAGCAUUGAACACAAAAAUGAUUUAGUAUAUUGUAACCUAAAUGACUGAUUUAGCACCAAGCUCACGUUUCGGUCACAAUGGGGCGAGUCACACUAUGGGGCGAGUCGUUAAGGGGGCGAGUCGUUACAUUACCUCACAAUGGUACUUAACUUUGCAUGCUGUGCCCCCUAUUAUCGGACAUAUAAAGAAACGUUGUGUUAUCCGAGUAAAUGUGUUUUUACUGUUUUUUUACAUUCUUCGAAGUCUUUUGUUUGACUUCUCGCGUUUACUAUGUUCGGUGUGUGUCGGUUAUAUGUGCAAAAAAGAUAUGUAUUACAAAUAUAACAAAUAAUAACUGAA